GAUGAACGCUGGCGGCGUGCCUAAUACAUGCAAGUCGAGCGAACGGAUUAAGAGCUUGCUCUUAUGAAGUUAGCGGCGGACGGGUGAGUAACACGUGGGUAACCUGCCCAUAAGACUGGGAUAACUCCGGGAAACCGGGCUAAUACCGGAUAAUAUUUUGAACUGCAUAGUUCGAAAUUGAAAGGCGGCUUCGGCUGUCACUUAUGGAUGGACCCGCGUCGCAUUAGCUAGUUGGUGAGGUAACGGCUCACCAAGGCAACGAUGCGUAGCCGACCUGAGAGGGUGAUCGGCCACACUGGGACUGAGACACGGCCCAGACUCCUACGGGAGGCAGCAGUAGGGAAUCUUCCGCAAUGGGCGAAAGCCUGACGCAGCGACGCCGCGUGGGUGAUGAAGGCC
rnacentral:rRNA from 1 species